rnacentral:rRNA from 1 species
GACGAACGCUGGCGGCGUGCCUAAUACAUGCAAGUAGAACGCAGUUGCGAACGGGUGAGUAACGCGUAGGUAACUGCCUGGUAGCGGGGGAUAACUAUUGGAAACGAUAGCUAAUACCGCAUACUACCAGAUGGACCUGCGUUGUAUUAGCGAGUUGGUGAGGUAACGGGUCACCAAGGCAACGAGUCAUAGCCGACCGUGGAGGGUGAUCGGCCACACUGGGACGGAGACACGGGCCAGAACCCCACGGGAGGCAGCAGGAGGGAAACUUCGGAAAUGGGGGGAACCCUGACCGAGCAACGCCGCGUGAGUGAAGAAGGUUUUCGGAUCGUAAAGCUCUGUUGUUAAGGAAGCGGUACUUAACCAGAAAGGGACGGCUAACUACGUGCCAGCCGCCGCGGUAAUAC